rnacentral:tRNA from 1 species
GAGGAUUUAGCUCAGUGGCACAGCACCUGCCUGGCAAGUAUGAGGUCCUGAGUUCAUUCUCAGUACUCCUCC